rnacentral:rRNA from 1 species
ACGCUCGACACCUACGGGGCAGCAGUGGGGAAUAUUGCACAAUGGGGGAAACCCUGAUGCAGCGACGCCGCGUGAGCGAAGAAGUAUCUCGGUAUGUAAAGCUCUAUCAGCAGGGAAGAAGAUGACGGUACCUGACUAAGAAGCACCGGCUAAAUACGUGCCAGCAGCCGCGGUAAUCUGAGGCGGGCUGGCAAGGC